rnacentral:rRNA from 1 species
UGGGGAAUUUUGGACAAUGGGCGAAAGCCUGAUCCAGCAAUGCCGCGUGUGUGAAGAAGGCCUUCGGGUUGUAAAGCACUUUUGUCCGGAAAGAAAUCCUUGGCCCUAAUACAGUCGGGGGAUGACGGUACCGGAAGAAUAAGCACCGGCUAACUACGUGCCAGCAGCCGCGGUAAUACGUAGGGUGCAAGCGUUAAUCGGAAUUACUGGGCGUAAAGCGUGCGCAGGCGGUUUGCUAAGACCGAUGUGAAAUCCCCGGGCUCAACCUGGGAACUGCAUUGGUGACUGGCAGGCUAGAGUAUGGCAGAGGGGGGUAGAAUUCCACGUGUGAGCAGUGAAAUGCGUAGAGAUGUGGAGGAAUACCGAUGGCGAAGGCAGCCCCCUGGGCCAAUACUGACGCUCAUGCACGGAAGCGUGGGGA